CAGGAGAGAUGAGUGCAGUCUCUCACUUACGGAGUCUGCCUAGGCUCUUUCAGCUUUAUCUCCUCCAGCGCUUUCCACAGCACUUCACAUAGGUAAGCCCAGAAAGUUUAGGUAGCCUUCCCAAAUCACACAGCAAGGCAGAGCUGAGAUAUGGAUGGGAACUUAAAUAUAUACACACACAUCUAAACGCUCUAUUUUUACAAAUUCCUGCUGCAAUGAAGUAGUUUCUUUUAUCAGCUUUAGCUAACAUUUUCAUUGCUAGGGGAAACCCAUAUGAUUGUGAUUGUUUUGAAGUUCUGAGUCAAAGUGACUGUGCUGUUGAAACUCAGGUCACUCCUAGUAAGAAUGUGAGCAGGUCUUUGGGAGAUGGGAAGAUUUCGCUGUCAGUUCUUGGGUUAUUUGGUUUAUUUUAAAUGACAUAUAAUAUUGAUCCAGUUCCAAAUCUUUCCCCAAACCUAUUCAUGCUCAGGCAUCCGAAGGCACUUGUCAUUUGGUGGCACAAAGAUUUAGAGGAUCAUGCCAAUGUAUUAUUCAAGUCAUUUACUCAUGUUAAUGUAUUAUUGAAACACAGCGCUUAACAAGUUUCUGAAAGAGACUAGUUGCAUAUGAACAGGAACAGUAUCAUGAUGACACUAGCAUGAUACGUUGUGGAGAGCCAUCCCUUAUGCUUCAGAACACGGAUUCAACUCUGCUUGCAGCUGGGCCAGCCACCCACCUGGGACCCUUGCAGACAAGUGGGAUUGGACAAGAGCCAUUGUUUUGAUCUAUUGGUUGACCCUGGCACCUCUGGUUCCCUUUGCAGAACUGCAAUCCAGUAUUUUCUUCAGGUAUGGAAAUCUUCAGGUACACUUAAAGCUCCUCUCUAAAGAGUUGAUUCAGGCCGUCUCCGGAUUGAUGGGAUUUGUGUCCCUGUUCUUCACCUACUGGUUGGUACUGCGUCUCAGGGAGAAGAGAAAGACCUGUCUGUUGUUAACUACAACACUAACUUUGUGUAAGAGCUUUCCCAAAUGAGAAUUUGUGAUAUGAAAAUUGUUCCUUGGGACUUCUGGUUUGAGCUCUGCCAUAUAAAGAGCUUGGUAGUCAUCAUUCUCACUAUUACAAUAAGAUCAAGCUGGAAAAACUGAAAAGCAAUGACUUUUUUUGGUUGUCUCAGAGAACUGAGUUUGCAGGGAAAACAACUACCCUGAAAUAUGGAGAGAUGGGCACAUCUCUGGAGAGAGAGCAACUGACAUCUGCUUGCUUGAAGCAGAAACCACUGGAAUCAUAAACUGGUAAGAACAUUGCAGAAAAGUUAACAUAGCAGGCCUGAGACGGUUAUUCCUGGGAAGACCUGCUUGCAAGGUUGGCCCUUGGCUGGUUCCUGGGAACAUGGAUUUUUGGAGGGUUCUCACCAUUUCCAGAAGUGAUAACAGGGCUCACUAUGCUUAGACUAUUUGUAUAAACCAUGUGGUUCAUGCUUCAGGCACCUAUUUUCCUUCUGGGAGACUGGAAUUUUGGUAUGUGAGAAGUAGAGGGUAACCCCCCCAAAAUUUGGGGGCACUGAGUUUUUAAUGAGCUUCCCUGAGAGGCAACAUUUAGUAUGAAUUGUCACAACCCAUAGCUGCAAGAAUUAAGAGCAUCAUG
ensembl:lncRNA